CCACGCGGGCCCCCAAGUCCCACGUCCACCUCCCGCUGCCUCGACCCCCGCCCGGCUACCCUACGCGGGCGCUCUCUGUUGCAACUUUGUUUUGAUGAUCUGGAUCAGAGAAUGGUUUCCACAGAAAUUAGUUUUAGGAUCAUUUGUAGGCUUUCUCUAAACUUGUCAUGGUGUUCUUAUUUGCUAUCUAGUGUCAUCCCAAGUAAUUAAAAUGUUAAAAUUUUAGCACAAAUUUUACUAUUCAUCUUUAUAUUGUGCAACACCAGCUUUAAAUGCAAAUAUAAGUUCAUUUAACUCAUAUGGAAUCACCAAAAUUUCACAAUUCAUAUUUUGUGACUUGUCCAUGAAUGUGCAUUUUGUUCUUAGCAGGACAAAAUUAUGCUUUUAAAUGAACAAAAUUAACUCUUAAAAUUUUGCUUCUUGAUACAUGCACAAUCUACCUAUACUCUGUGGAAGCUGGUAGCUUCCAAAAUGCACUACCUUGUCUUUGCUUUGAGUCUCAUUGAACUUCCACUAGAAUAUGGUGCAUGACUAAUGCUAUAUGCAAAUUGGGUGGCAAAGAAUGGUAGUGGACACACAUAUUAUGUGUAUCUGCUCAUACACAUACCCCAUUGCCCCACUGGAUUCACUUCUUAAAACAAAGGUUCAAAGAUAAAAUUAUAAAGGAUAUCAACAUGGCAACAGCAGAGCUUUAAGCCAGAUGCAGGGCUCUUCUGAGUACAGGGCCCUGUGUGAUGCACAGAUUGCCUGCCCAUGAAGCUGGUCCUGUGUGACCAAUACACUAUGGAGGAAGUAGUAUCUGUGACUGCUAAGGUUAGAUCAUAUAGUCAUUAUAGCUUCUGCCCUGUUCUCUUGGAUUACUUGCUGUGAGGAAGGCACCAUGUGGUAAAGCAGCUCAAACAGGAGUGCGGAAAGGUCCACUUGGGGAGGAACUGGAGCAUUUUGCCAACAGUCAGUCAUGUGAAUGAGCCACCUUGGAAAUGGAUCCUUUAGACCAUCUCAAGCCUUCAGAUGACAGGAGGCCCAGUCAAAAUCCUGACGACAAUCUAAGACUCCGAACUGGAACUGUCCAGCUUAGCAGCUUCUGAAUUCCCGACCUACAAAAACUGCCAGAGAUAAUAUAUAUAUUUGUUCUUUUAGGACACUAAGCUUUGGAAUGAUUUGUCACUCAGCAAUGGAUAACUAAAAUAAUGCUUUAAUUUACAUUUUCUUCAAUUUUAAUAAGAUUUGGCAUCUUUUUGCAUGCUUGAUGGUUAUUUAUAUCUUUCUCCUUUGCCUUGCUCAUUUAUUUUGUCCAUUUUUAUUGGAUUAUUUCUCUUUAUCUUACUGAUAUGUAAAUAGAUCUUUGUAAACCAAGAAAAUUAACCUUUUGUUGGCCAUAUGUAUUGCACAUGUUUCUCACAGUUUAUGAUUUUUGACUAUUUUUUAAUUACAGAAGUUUUAAACUUUUACUGUGGUUAAAUUAACCAGCUUUUCCCAUUAUACAUUUUAAAUUUUGCUCCAAACUUGCUAAAGGCUUUCCUCAUUCUAUAGCUAUAAAAAUGUUUAUCCAUAUUUAAUUUUAGCACUUUGAUGGUUUCGUUUUUAUAAUUAAAUUUUUUUCUUUUGAGUUUUGUUUGGUGGUGAGAGGGGGAUAUAACUCCUCCACUUCCCAAGAGUGAAAGCAUUAUAUUAUCUCAAUGAUUAAGCCAUCCUCUCCCCACUGGUAUGAAAUACCAUGUUUAUUAUAUCCCAAACUUCUGUCUAUUCUUGGGUUUAUUUCUGUACUCUCAAUUCUCUUCCAUUGAUUUGUCUAUUCCAGUACCCAUGUUACUCUUCUAUGUCUGAAUAUCUUGAACAUUUUCAUGUGUUUCAUUUUUCUAGAAUAAUUUUGGAAUCAUUUUUCAACUUAAAAUAAACAAGUGAAUCAAUAUCCCUUGAUAUUUUUAUUGCACAAGGUUGAUGAAAUCGAGUGUCCCCAUCAAAGAGUAAAGUCUGUCUUUGUAUCGGUUCAUAUCUAUGUUAUGUUGCUUUUUGAUAGGCUUUAAAAUUUUUCUUCAUUUAGGUCCCAUAUAUUUCUUAUUAACUCUGUUCCUAAUAUUUUAAAAAGCUGAAGUAUAAUUGACAUACAAUAAACUACAUACAUAGUUAAGGUAUACAAUUUGAUAAGCCUUGACAAAUAUAUAUAACUAUGAAAGAAUCAACACAAUAAAAAUGACAGCCAUAUCC